AAAUUUAGGCUAACAACACUAAACCAAGGGCCUUCAAAGCCCUAACUAAGAACACCAACUUCUU
rnacentral:tRNA from 1 species